CCACAUGUGUGCUGCUGAGAAGGAUGUACAGGGGCACCUGCAGCCAAAUCCAAGCCGCCUCAGAGCAGAGCGGCAGUUUGUGCUCACAGAUGGUGACGGUGUGGAGAGACGGUGGUGUUUCCUCAGAAGAACUAGCAGAGUCACAAAGGGCACGAGUCCAUCUCACCACCUUGACUUGCUGACUGAUGCUCGUCUGCACUGCACAGAGGAAAUCAACUGACCGAGGAGUGUUUCUGGGUGAGGGAGAGAGGAGUCAUCAUCCAGGUAAAGUGACGUGGAUCAGUGGACACACUUGUCUCCACUUUAAAGGAGACGAUCCGAGUCAUCCCUAAAUAUGGGCAGGAUAUCAGUCUUGGACUGUCUGACCUGCAGGAGCAGCACUGAAUGAUCACCACACAUGAUCAGUUUUGCUUUGGU